GAACGCUGGCGGCGUGCCUAACACAUGCAAGUCGAGCGGUAACAGGUGUAGCAAUACAUGCUGACGAGCGGCGAACGGGUGAGUAAUGCUUCGGAAUCUGCCCAAUGGUGGGGAAUAACCAGCCGAAAGGUUGGCUAAUACCGCAUAAGUCCUACGGGAGAAAGCGGGGGAUCGUAAGACCUCGCGCCGAUGGAUGAGCCGAAGUCGGAUUAGCUAGUUGGUAGGGUAACGGCCUACCAAGGCGACGAUCCGUAGCUGGUCUGAGAGGACGACCAGCCACACUGGGACUGAGACACGGCCCAGACUCCUACGGGAGGCAGCAGUGGGGAAUAUUGGACAAUGGGGGAAACCCUGAUCCAGCGACGCCGCGUGUGUGAAGAAGGCCUGCGGGUUGUAAAGCACUUUUAGUGGGGAUGAAAAGCUCAGGGCUAAUACCUCUGGGUCUUGACCUAACCCACAGAAAAAGCACCGGCUAACUCUGUGCCAGCAGCCGCGGUAAUACAGAGGGUGCAAGCGUUAAUCGGA
rnacentral:rRNA from 1 species